rnacentral:rRNA from 1 species
UUAUGGCUCAGGACAACGCUGGCGGCGUGCCUAACACAUGCAAGUCGAACGGAGAAUUUGUAGCAAUAUGAAUUCUUAGUGGCGAACGGGUGAGUAACGCGUGAGCAACCUGCCCUUCAGAGGGGGACAACAGCUGGAAACGGCUGCUAAUACCGCAUAACGUAUAUUUGCGGCAUCGCAGAUAUGCCAAAGAUUUAUCGCUGAAGGAUGGGCUCGCGUCUGAUUAGAUAGUUGGUGAGGUAACGGCUCACCAAGUCAACGAUCAGUAGCCGGACUGAGAGGUUGAACGGCCACAUUGGGACUGAGAUACGGCCCAGACUCCUACGGGAGGCAGCAGUGGGGAAUAUUGGGCAAAUGGGGGCAACCCUGACCCAGCAACGCCGCGUGAAGGAAGAAGGCUUUCGGGUUGUAAACUUCUUUGACGAGGGACGAAGAAAUGACGGUACCUCGAAAACAAGCCACGGCUAACUACGUGCCAGCAGCCGC